CGGUGAUGUUGUUGCUAUUUUUCCUCCUGUUCUUCUUGAUCAGGGUCCGCCGACCUAAAAACCUCCCCCCAGAACCCCGUCCCCUGCCCAUCCUAGGCAAUCUGCUACAGCUGGACCCUGUCAACCCCCUCAAAGACCUGGAAAGGGAGGUUGGUGGCACCUUAAUUGGGGAGGACGGGCUCGUGGUAAAUGGCUGGAGCGGAAUAGGUGCUGAAGAGGCGCUAUGGUAACGUGUUCUGUCUGUACAUCGGAUCACGACCUGUCGUGGUACUGAAUGGCCUUGAGGCGGUUUGUGAUGCACUGGUGACAUGCACAGCUGAAUUUUCAGGACGACCAAACCAUCUCAUGAUCAGCGACAUCACAGAAUGCACAGGGCACGAUGGUGAUCCCUAACCUGUCCUCUGUGCUCCAUGAAGAGGGCCAGUGGAAGUUCCCUCAGGAGUUCAGCCCUGACAACUUCCUCAACGAGGACGGCAAGUUUGUGAAACCAGAGGCCUUUCUGACAUUCUCAGCAGGCUCUCGUGUAUGCCUGGGAGAAGGGUUAGCGCGCACGGAGCUCCUUCUGAUACUGGUAACCUUGCUUCGACAUGUGCAAUUUGUCUCGCCUGAACAAGAAGGUGCGCCUGACUUCCGCCAGAUUUUUGGCAUUGCACAGGCGCAAAAAUCCUACCGCCUGGGAGUGCGUCUGAGAAGCAGCCUGUGAUGGUGAACUACCGACAGUUUUCACUGAGCGGCAAUAUCACUAAAGCAGCACAUUAAAUAAUGCCAUACCCUCAAUUGAGUGCCUUAUAGUUUUUAAUAACACAUUUUGUGAUCUGUGAUGGACAGUCGAAAUCAAAUGACCUAUUUUCAUGCUAAAUAAAUUAACCUCCUCAACAGGUAAACAUCACAUAACAUGUAAAAUGAGGUGAAUGAAUGCAGCCAGUCCAGAAAUAAAUUGGAUAGU